rnacentral:rRNA from 1 species
GACGAACGCUGGCGGCGUGCUUAACACAUGCAAGUCGAACGGAAAGGCCCUGCUUUUGUGGGGUGCUCGAGUGGCGAACGGGUGAGUAACACGUGAGUAACCUGCCCUUGACUUUGGGAUAACUUCAGGAAACUGGGGCUAAUACCGGAUAGGAGCUCCUGCUGCAUGGUGGGGGUUGGAAAGUUUCGGCGGUUGGGGAUGGACUCGCGGCUUAUCAGCUUGUUGGUGGGGUAGUGGCUUACCAAGCCUUUGACGGGUAGCCGGCAUGAGAGGGUGACCGGCAACAUUGGGACUGAGAGACGGCCCAGAAUCCUACGGGAGGCAGCAGUGGGGAAUAGUGCACAAUGGGAGGAAGCAUGAUGCAGAAAAGCCGCGUGCGGGAUGACGGCCUUCGGGUUGUAAACAGAUUUCGCAUGUGACGAAGCGUGAGUGACGGUAAUGGGUAAAGAAGCACCGGCUAACUACGUG